UCACCCAGAUGACGGUAUGCCGAAAUGAGUUAGAAAGUUGACUAAUGAAGUCCAUAGCAAGGUAUUCCCAUACUUGGUUUGGUGUGGGUAAUGGCUGAAGUGGACCUUUUUUUUUAGUCAAGUAUUUUUUUUGAUGAAAUGUUUGACAACAAGGUGGAUUCCCGACCAAGAGAAUGACUGGAAGAUUCUGGAAACAAGCUUUUACUCUGGAGUGUCUAGUUGUCGAGGUAGUGUGGUAUUCUAGAAGAAUGGAGCUGCGAAAGCUAAGGAUAUCAGACGGGCGAGGCUUGCAAACAGGGAGACAUCUUUUUACUGAAGAAAGAAAUGUGAUGACCUUAUUGAGAAAGAACAACACCAAUAGCAACCCCAAAAGCAU